rnacentral:rRNA from 1 species
UACGAAGGGGGCGAGCGUUAUUCGGAAUCACUGGGCGUAAAGCGUGCGUAGGCUGUUUGACAAGUUGGAAGUGAAAGCCCAGGGCUCAACCCUGGAAUUGCUUUCAAAACUGUCAGACUCGAAUCUCGGAGAGGAUAGCGGAAUUUCCAGUGUAGUAGUGAAAUACGUAGAUAUUGGAAGGAACACCGGUGGCGAAGGCGGCUUGCUGGGCCUUACCUGACGCUGAGGAGCGAAAGCGUGGGGAGCGAACCGG